CCUGGCUCCACUCCCCCUAGACUCAUUUAAGAGCUGGCUACCAGUGAGGAAGGAUCUCUUCUGGAGAUCUGCUUUGCUGGAGUUUUGUAAGUGAGCCUGGGCUCUGGCAGGAAUGGCUUACAGGCCAAGAAGUAUUCUCUGCAAAGAGUUUGGAUGCAGCCAUCCUGAUUUGGAGAACAAGACAAUUCAGUCCUAUGGCCAAGAGCUUUGCCAUUUCAUUUUGCCUCCAGGAUGGAGAAGAGCCAGGCUGGACUUUAUUUCCUAGUGUAGGUAUAGGCACUCAUGUCUUUGGCAUAGGAACCAGUAAAAACUGCAGGCCUUUGGUUACAAAUGGAAGAAUCACAUAUAUCUAAAAUGAAUGUAAUUAUAUUGCAGUUAAACAGCAAAAAACCAUGGUGAAUCUUAAUUUGUUUGAUGUUGUGAUUUCAUUCAGUAAAUUGCCUAAAACUUCCACUAUUUUUCUGAAGCACAUCCAGGAUUCUUUGCUCUGGAAAUAUCAUAUGAUCAAUCCUCCCAAGGAGAUUUUCAGCAUGCCCUCAUUCUGACCAGGCAGGCUUGUUUUUCAUGCUGCAUUUUGAUAAUUCCACAUCUUCUCCUAGCUGAACACAAGUAGGACAGCUGCUCAGAACUUAAUUUAAAAGGUAAACUGACUUCUUUUGAAUUUCAAAAAAUCACAGGAUGGAUCUUCUUUUAUCAGAACCAGCUUAUCCGUCCCUAAUUCAGAGAGAAAAGUAGGGGUCCGGAUCAAAAGGCUUCAAAUGUUUCCAAAGUUCAGGGCUAUUUGGAUCUCUGGUUUUGGUGUAGGCCCAUCCACUACCUGCACUGCCCCUAUAUCACCAUUUACCUAUUCUCCCCCACAGACUUUUUUUUUUCUUUCCAGCUCCCUCCCUCUCCAUCACUCUUCCAAGAUUAAAGUUUUUUUUUUAUUAUUAUUAUAAUCAUAAUUCCUAUAAGAGAUAAGAAGCUCCCCAGUGUAUCUUUAUUAAUCCCAGUUAAGAUAACAUUUUGAAAGCAGACAGGGGAGAGAUUUAUAAAGAGCAAGAAAAUGCAGUUGGAGAUCAGCACAGCAGGGCCAAAAUUUCCUAUGCUGUCUGAGGCUGUUUACAAGGUAGUGUAAGUUAAAUAUUGCCCUAUAUGUGAAGUUACAUGUAACCACUUUGUUGAAUCUGAGCCUAGAUUGUAUUUACCAGUGUGUUCAAUGUUGUAAUAAUGAUCCUAGAAACAGCCUUCAUUAUAUUUUGUCUCUUCUGGUUUAUGUUUGUAUGUUAUGUUUUAUUAUUUACAUUGUUAGUGUGUUAUCAUCAAGUUAAAAAACAGGCUGUUUGAAUUCCCACCAAUUUAUUUGUAUGGUUUUGUUAUGGGCAAAAGAAGCAAACCAUAUAUGUGAAGUCAGUAAUUUAUUAUUGUUCUAAUUACAGUCUUAAUAGUCUCAAAGAAAAGUUACUGUUAAUGCAGUUACUGUGACACUACACAGUUUAAAUCGCGUAGCGCAGUUAAAAUACAUACACCAACUUUCUAGCACCUCCCUCCUUGUCUAGUGCCAAGCCUACACACCCACUGCCCCUCAGUUUCCUAAGGCUGAUGGUAUCUCUCAGUGUAUGGCACAAGGUAGAGUUACCACAAGUCUUCUGUGUCCCAGGCCCUCUCCUAGAGAAGUAUGAUGUUAGUAUUAAAGGCUUCUCCUUCACCUCUUGAAUUCAGUGGGGGCUUUUUUCUGUUUGCUUACAUGCUAUGUACCUUGUUUCUCAUUGAUGCACAAGUCCAUGUUGUAUCUCCAUGAGCUCUAUAUGGUGUGUUUUAUGUAUGUUGGUUACUUCUUGGUUCUCACUGUUGCCCAAUGGACUAAUUUAUACACUGCCUAAGGUUGCUUUCAUUUGCUGACCAUAAGUGGCCCCAGUAUAUAGCCCAUAGGUCUUCCACAUCUUCCUUUGCCUGUUGUCAAAGCCUCUGCCCUCAUCCUGUCUUCUCUUUCUGCUGCGUUUUCUUCUAGAGUAAUAGAUAAAUGUUUUAUUUCCACUGUCUAAUAGUUAAGAAACUAUAUUUAGUAAUAGACAUUAUAUGAAGUGGGUAGCAGUCCCCUAGGUAACUACUAUUACAAGCUGAAGCAAAUCUCCUGGGUCUCCUGCCUUGGCUCUGGCUCUUUUUCUGACUUGAGCUUUCUGUGAGAUCCUGAGCAUGUUCCUUUGCCUUUCUGAAUCUCUAAAAUGGAUAAAAUGUGCUGUCACCUUGAUAGAACAGAAUGGAGAGGAAAGCAGUGGAAAUGAAUCAAUCAUUACUAUUUGUUUAAAUGAGAAUCUCUGUCAAAUCUGAAGAAUUAAUUUGGUCUGAGAGGAAUGCUAAGAGGCUUAGGACAACCUCAUCUGACAAUCAAGUGAAGUAAAUGUUUGUUCUCUACACAGAGCUUCAUGCUGAGAAGCACUAGUGUGAUGGGUUAUCUUAAAGUGAGUCAUCCUAUUCUGUAUUCAUUUUUUUCUUAAAACUGAGAACAUAAUGAUCUACCCAAAAU